rnacentral:rRNA from 1 species
AACGAACGCUGGCGGCAUGCCUAACACAUGCAAGUCGAACGGGAUCCUAGCUUGCUAGGUGAGAGUGGCGGACGGGUGAGUAACACGUGGGAAUCUGCCUUUUGGUUCGGGAUAACCGCGGGAAACUGCGGCUAAUACCGAAUGCCCUCGAGAGGGGAAAGAUUUAUCGCCAGAAGAGGAGCCCGCGUCCGAUUAGGUAGUUGGUGGGGUAAAGGCCUACCAAGCCGACGAUCGGUAGCUGGUCUGAGAGGAUGAUCAGCCACACUGGGACUGAGAUACGGCCCAGACUCCUACGGGAGGCAGCAGUGGGGAAUAUUGGACAAUGGGGGCAACCCUGAUCCAGCAAUGCCGCGUGAGUGAUGAAGGCCUUAGGGUUGUAAAGCUCUUUUGCCAGGGAAGAUGAUGACUGUACCUGGAGAAUAAGCCCCGGCUAACUUCGUGCCAGCAGCCGCGGUAAU